GCGUUUAUAGCUUAAUUGGAUAAAGCGUCGGAUUUCGGUCCCGAAGAUUGUAAGUUCAAAUCUUACUAAACGUA
rnacentral:tRNA from 1 species